GAUUCAGUGAUCCAUGAUCAUGAUCCAGUGAUCCAUGAUCAUGAUCCAGUGCCUGCAGCAGUAAGCUCAGGCCAGCAGCUGAAGAUGUUCAAACCUGACCAUAGAAGUCUACGUGAGUUAGCCAACCCUCUGUGCCUGGCAGCCAGAUAAACCAGGAAUUCACAAUGUUACGAUUUGCAACUUCAACGCAACGUUAGUGAAUCUCUGUGAAUUCAGGGCGGUGUUGCAAUUUUAACCAAUCACCGUGAUUUUUCCGCAACUUUGACCAAUCAUUGGCUUGAGCUGACAUCACUGACUCCAAACUGCCUUCCACUUCACUUCUGUGAACGAAACUGUGAUAGGGAAGAGCCCAGCACUGAAUCCCCGUCCGAUGGUGUGCCGCGACCGGCUCUGGGUCGGCUUGGAAAGGCUCGGAAGGUGGAGCCGCAAGCUUUACAGCACCCUCCCGCCCGGACCUCGCCACUUCCUGGGGCCGUGGACUUAGUGCUCGCUGCACCCUCUCCGGGGCCCCCUCGACUUAUCGCAACUUUCACUUCCUCCCGCAACAAGAUCGCAACAAAAAUCUGAAAAGCACCGCAACUUUCAGCACAAUUUUUAAAAACAAAAUUCAUGGACAUCAGGCUGCAACUAUCUCAAAAAAGGCCCGCGACAUCCUGGUGGGACUGAUAAACAAUAUUUAUAGAUUAUAUGAAUGAACAUUUGGAUCACUGAUGGAGGAAUAACCGCCGGGUCCCAGCAGGCACUGUGACACACAGAGCAGCUGUUCAUCAAACGCAUUCAGGCGACUGUAGCUGGUUGUUUUAGUUCUGCAGAGUCAAUAUUUCAUGAGUGUAUAAUAGUUUGACACAAUGAUGCAGUUAGAGAGCUGAAGCUGCUUUGUGCUGACUCCUGUUCUGGCCGCGGGCUUUAAAAACCUGUCAAAACUCACAUUCAUCCUCACAAAGACGAGAGUGAGGACGAGGCAGCACACACACACACACACAUACACACACAUACACGCACAGACCACACACACACACACACACACACACACAGACCACACACACACACACACACAUGGCGUGGUCCGAGUGUGAUGGGGAGUUGAGAAACAGAUCUGUAGUCUGAACACGGAGCUCGGAGCCGGCGUGGUUACAGACUGUUCUGGGGUCAGUGUUCAGAGAGAACAGCAGAGCAGCCUUGUUGACUGCUCAGACGCUUCGACCCUGCAGCCUCCUUGUUGGUAUGCAGCCUUCAUCUCAGGCCCUGUUCUCCUCUUAUCUGUCCCGCUCUGACCUUCUGUUCUCCUCUUUCUUCUCUCCGUGCAGCAGACAUGGCUGAAUACAGAUCAAGAAAACCGUGGCGGUGUUUAGACGCUUUCUGCUGAUGACAGUUUUCCUUCAGCUGAAUGCCACGCGGGAGAGAAACUGACAGAAGUAAACCAACUCAGCUGAGUCCAAAGUUUUUACUGGAGUGCUGAUAUCAAGAAUAACAGCACGGCAGGCUGUUUAACCUUCAGGUAACGUGGAUGCAGGUCGCUCUGCAGGACGUCUCUGGUCUCAGUGUCUGAGCUCUGAGAACUUCUGAUUUGAAGAAACGAGCUCAGUCUGACUUCACUGGAUCUGCUCCGUCUGUAACCGUCAGAGCCUGAAGUCCGCCAUCGCCUGGCCGUCUGCAGACUUUUCCAGCGUCUCAUCCUCCACAUGACGGGCUCAGGUUCUCAGACUGUUCUCGACUCCAACGCCGACCUCUCACUCACAGAAGACAGAUGAACGCCAAUCUGUCGCCUCCUGACUCCGACUGCUCUCUGUUGCCAGGCAACAGCAGAAAGACAGAUAGGAGUGAGCGUCUUCUGCUGAAGUUCAAAUGAUCAAAUGUUCAAAUGU